GCCGAUGUAGCUCAGUGGUAGAGCAAACGAUUCGUAAUCGUUAGGUCACCGGUUCAAUCCCGGUCAUCGGCUCCA
rnacentral:tRNA from 1 species